GUGGGGAAUCUUGCGCAAUGGGCGAAAGCCUGACGCAGCCAUGCCGCGUGAAUGAUGAAGGUCUUAGGAUUGUAAAAUUCUUUCACCGGGGACGAUAAUGACGGUACCCGGAGAAGAAGCCCCGGCUAACUUCGUGCCAGCAGCCGCGGUAAUACGAAGGGGGCUAGCGUUGCUCGGAAUUACUGGGCGUAAAGGGCGCGUAGGCGGAUCGUUAAGUCAGGGGUGAAAUCCCAGAGCUCAACUCUGGAACUGCCCGUGAUACUGGCGAUCUUGAGUGUGAGAGAGGUAUGUGGAACUCCGAGUGUAGAGGUGAAAUUCGUAGAUAUUCGGAAGAACACCAGUGGCGAAGGCGACAUACUGGCUCAUUACUGACGCUGAGGCGCGAAAGCGUGGGGAGCAAACAGGAUUAGAAACCCUUGUAGUCC
rnacentral:rRNA from 1 species